UGGGGAAUAUUGGACAAUGGGCGCAAGCCUGAUCCAGCCAUGCCGCGUGAGUGAUUGAAGGCCUUAGGGUUGUAAAGCUCUUUCGCCGGUGAAGAUAAUGACGGUAACCGGAGAAGAAGCCCCGGCUAACUUCGUGCCAGCAGCCGCGGUAAUACGAAGGGGGCUAGCGUUGCUCGGAAUCACUGGGCGUAAAAGCGCACGUAGGCGGAUCGUUAAGUCAGGGGUGAAAAUCCUGGAGCUCAACUCCAGAACUGCCCUUGAUACUGGCGAUCUCGAGUUCGAGAGAGGUUGGUGGAACUCCGAGUGUAGAGGUGAAAAUUCGUAGAUAUUCGGAAGAACACCAGUGGCGAAGGCGGCCAACUGGCUCGAUACUGACGCUGAGGUGCGAAAAGCGUGGGGAGCAAAACAGGAUU
rnacentral:rRNA from 1 species